AGGAUAUUAGUUAAAUUUAUAAUAUUUAAUUUGCAUUUAAAAGUAACUUUUUAAGUAAGUAUAUCUUA
rnacentral:tRNA from 1 species